AGUCUUUGGUGAGAAGAAAACAGGUGGAAGGAAAGCAUGAAAAAGAUGAUAUAACAUAUGAAAGUAGGUGAUAAGAGUGACUUCAUCAGAUGAUACUACUCACUACCUGGUAUUGAAAAACUGAGUUCAACUUUUUAUUGGCUAUAACUCAAAGCCUGGUGCGGUAAAUUUGUUUAUAACGUAGGAAUGUUGGUGUCUUUUUGAUAUGCUUCGACUAGCACUAAAAGAUCUCUGGAUAGCUUCUUUAAUGGUAUGUGCUGCUCUCGGGGAAUUUACGAUUAUAACACAUGAUUAAUGUGUAAGAUGAAGGAGAUGAAUGGUUUCCAGGUUGAUAAUAUAAAAUAGUAAUUGGUAGGGGGCAAAAGGUAUACCGAAGGAGCAGGAUUUUAGCUCGAGAACAUAACAAAAUUUAGUUAGUUCAUUAAAAAAACACAAGCGAAUGGGUGAAAUCAUUCACCUGAAGAGUUUAAUUGUAAUAAUUUACAGCAAAACCUAAUCAGUAGUACUCAGAUUAUUUGAUUGCAUCAGUGUUUUGGUUCAUAUUUAAAAUUAAAAGUAUAUGAGGCCAAUUACACAGAUAGCCCCUCGAGGACGUUGACCAAAAUAGGACAGUUAUAAAAAGCAACAGAGUGAGCAAUGAAAACAAGUAAAAACUAUGAAAAUUCAUGUGGGAAAAGAAGAAAAUAGGUGGGAGGAAAGCAUGACAAAUAUGAUAUAACAUAUGAAAGUAGGUGAUAAAAGUGACUUCAUCAGAUGAUACUACACUUUAUCAAUUAUGGGAAUCAUCGAUAAAAGAUUGUUGGGUCAUGGUAUUGGUAUCACAUUCCCUAAAGCUAAAGACUGAAACCAAAUGGCACGACAUUUGUAAAACCUGGCUUUGAAGUUUUGUGCGCAGAUAGCAUGACAUUGGAGCAUCAAAAUUUGUUUAAUUGCCAACAGCUACCACAGGGUUUAGCUGAUGCUCCAUUAGAUGUUCCAUUCAAGAUCAUUGAUGCGUAUAGGAAACUUACGAUAAUUCACCCAUGAAGUUUAAUUGGUCACUGUAAAAAAAUGAUAAAUAAGGAGAGUUAAAGUUAUUCACAAUUUCUUUGCGUGUGUAUGAAAUUUAGAUAAGAUCUGUGAAUAUAUUGAUAUUUUUAAUUUGGUUCUCUGAUUGAUUUUUGAAUAAUAAUGAAUUUCUUUUCACAAUUUUCAAGGAAAUAGUUUGUCUAAGUACCCCGUGCAGAAUCUGCUUUUAGAUCUGUGUGGAUAAAAGAAUGGGAUGCAUAUGUGAACGCUUGCUAAUUUGAGGUGUAUGAAUAGUGGCCUUGGUAGCUUUGCAGCAGAUUAUGAUUUUAGUGGAUUUGGGAUGAGGCAAUUCAAGGCGUGUAUCAGAGGUGCUUGUGGAGAUUUACAGGUCCAUGGUUGUGGUUGUGGUGCAGGGACAAUUUGUCCCUCGCGAUGUUGAUGCUUCUUCAAAUUUGGCUCUGCGAUUAUGCGCCACGUUUAAAGCUGAAGGACGAAUGUCUUGAUUUGGUUAUUGGCCAAUAGGUCCUUGAGCUUUCCCUGCCUUUGGUGCUAGGAAGGCAUGCAGAUUGGGAUGAUAAUCUCAUGAAGUACCAUUCUUGAGCUCUUUAGACCUCUUUUAGUUUUUGUUUCUUUAGCUGUUUAUUCCCUCUAAACUGUGAUUUGUAACCACUUCUUUUACAUGCAUCUUCUGGACCAUCUUCGUGCCUUUUACUUUAUCAAUAUAUAUCUACCCUUUAACCCAUAAUAUAACGAAGAAAUCAGUUCAGGGGCGAAGCCAGGAUUUUCAUCAAGGGUGUUCAUAUUUUAGGACAGGGGAUGUGUGAGGAAAAAAAAAAAUAGCGCACGAAGAAAACACACAGCCAGAAUUCGAACUCGCGUCCUCAGUGAGAGUUUGCACACCCUUAGCCGCUGGGCUAUCCUUCUUUUCUAUGUGAAGAUUGUUCAUUACUAGUAUAUAUCCACAAAGUUCUAUAUUUAAUAUAGGCAUCCGACAAUUUUUUCCGACGAAGGGUGUUCAUAUGACCACCCUUGAAUAGAACUUCAGAAAUUGAAAGAAAUCAGAAUCGAAGAUGUUGACACUGACCAUUCUCUUCAGGAUGUUGGUAUACUUUCAGAUUUCAGUUCAGGUGACAAAGAUUUCAGUACAGGAUGUUGACUACAAUAGUACUGACGCUGCAAAAAAUAAAAGAUUAUGGGGGCUGAUAUUGAUUCGAGUUGGAGAGGAAAUGUUUGAUUUAUAUGGAAGCAUGAUUUUCAAGAAAUAUUGCAACUUCAUCUAUUAUUUUUCACCCACAUAUAUUUAAGAUGGUAUACUUGAACUCAACCAUUUCUAUUUAUCUUUUUUUUAUCUAAUUAUAUAUAUUUUCCUUGCUCUUCAAAACCCAGUGAUUUGUUUUUUAUAUUUUUUCCGUCAGAUCUUAGAUGACUUAAUUUUCUUCAUAUUUUUUGCUAUGUCUUUGCAGUUAAACGCCCGUUCGGAAUUUUUGGAUCGUUUCUAUGAGACAUUUGAUUUCAUCACUUGAAAGUACUAUAGCGACUAUGCUACGUAUUAUUAUUGUUUUCCACAGUUGUGUUUGUACUUAACUUUUACAAAUGAAAACAACGUUAUCUCAUUUUCACUUCUGAUAUGUCUUAAACUCCUUACUUCUUUAUGUAAUUUAAUCUAAAAUUUGUAUUGAGAAAAAUGAUUACCUGUCCCUUAAUUUUAUUCUUUAAAUUUUAUGUACGAUUGUUAUUAUAAUAUAGAAAAUGUAAUACUGGAUUGUACAAGUUUCUUUAACAAACUACUGAA